AACGAACGCUGGCGGCGUGGAUAAGACAUGCAAGUCGAACGAGAGAAUUGCUAGCUUGCUAAUAAUUCUCUAGUGGCGCACGGGUGAGUAACACGUGAGUAACCUGCCCCCGAGAGCGGGAUAGCCCUGGGAAACUGGGAUUAAUACCGCAUAGUAUCGAAAGAUUAAAGCAGCAAUGCGCUUGGGGAUGGGCUCGCGGCCUAUUAGUUAGUUGGUGAGGUAACGGCUCACCAAGGCGAUGACGGGUAGCCGGUCUGAGAGGAUGUCCGGCCACACUGGAACUGAGACACGGUCCAGACACCUACGGGUGGCAGCAGUCGAGAAUCAUCCACAAUGGGGGAAACCCUGAUGGUGCGACGCCGCGUGGGGGAAUGAAGGUCUUCGGAUUGUAAACCCCUGUCAUGUGGGAGCAAAUUAAAAAGAUAGUACCACAAGAGGAAGAGACGGCUAACUCUGUGCCAGCAGCCGCGGUAAUACAGAGGUCUCAAGCGUUGUUCGGAAUCACUGGGCGUAAAGCGUGCGUAGGCUGUUUCGUAAGUCGUGUGUGAAAGGCGCGGGCUCAACCCGCGGACGGCACAUGAUACUGCGAGACUAGAGUAAUGGAGGGGGAACCGGAAUUCUCGGUGUAGCAGUGAAAUGCGUAGAUAUCGAGAGGAACACUCGUGGCGAAGGCGGGUUCCUGGACAUUAACUGACGCUGAGGCACGAAGGCCAGGGGAGCGAAAGGGAUUAGAUACCCCUGUAGUCCUGGCAGUAAACG
rnacentral:rRNA from 1 species